rnacentral:rRNA from 1 species
AGGACGAACGCUGGCGGUGUGCUUCACACAUGCAAGUCGAACGGGGUAGCAAUACCCAGUGGCGGACGGGUGAGUAACGCGUAGAAAUCUGCCUUGAGAUGGGGGAUAACAGUCCGAAAGGAUUGCUAAUACCGCAUAUGUAUACAUUCGGACACGGGGUGUAUAUGAAAGGAGUAAUCCGUCUUAAGAUGAGUCUGCGUCCGAUUAGCUAGUUGGUAGGGUAAAGGCCUACCAAGGCGACGAUCGGUAGCUGGUCUGAGAGGAUGAUCAGCCACAAUGGGACUGAGACACGGCCCAUACUCCUACGGGAGGCAGCAGUGGGGAAUUUUGUGCAAUGGGGGAAACCCUGACACAGCGACACCGCGUGAACGAAGAAGCCCUUUGGGUGUAAAGUUCUGUCGGCUGGAACGAAAAAUGACGGUACCAGCAAAGGAGACAUCGGCUAACUACGUGCCAGCAGCCGC